rnacentral:rRNA from 1 species
AGGCGUCACCUGGGAACUGGUGUCGUGUCCGUAUGAAAAAGGAGUGGCGGGGCGGGCCUUGAUAUCCCUCAAAAGCAAGAUCCAAAAUGAAAAGCGAUUUUUUUUCCCUUGGAUUUAAAGGGGGGGGAAAGGGGUGAGGGUAUAACCCUAUCGAAUACGUGCCCGUUUAGGGGGGGGCAAAGGUUCCGGAAAAUGGGGGAACUAAAACCCCCAUUCGGCCUUAAGGGGAUAAAAUGGGGGGGUCCUUUGGGACCCCAAACUUUUCAAGUAAGGCUUAAUUGCAAUUUUAAUAAUUGGUGGGGGUAAAGGGCUAACCCAAGCGUCGAUUCGUAACUGGUUUGGGGGGGUGAUCAGUCCAUCCCUGAACUGGGGCCCGGUCCCGAAUUCUUAGGGGGGCCGCCAUGGGGAAUUUUGGACAAUUGGGCAAAGCCUGAAUCCACCAAUCCGCGUGCUGAAGAAAGUCUUUCGAUUGUAAAGCUCUUUAAGUUCGGAGGAAGGGCCGUAAGUUUAUUCCCUGCUGUUUAGGCGUUACCACCAGAAUAAGCACCGGCUUAUUUCGUUGCCGCAGCCGCCGUUAUAAUAAGGGGGCCACGGGUUAUUUGAAUUUCUGGGGGGUAAACGGGGGUCGGUGGUUUAUCAAAUAGGAUGUGAAAUUCCCGGGCUCCACAACUGCUGGGCAUCCAAAACUACCAAGCUUGAAUACGGUAGAGGGUGGAGGAAUUUCCUGUGUAGCCGUGAAAAGCGUAGAUUUAGGGGAGAACCCCAGUGGGGAAGGGGACCCCCCGGGGCGUUCCUGGCCCUCGGUCCGAAAACUCUUUUCCACCUGCUUAAAUUCCCUGGUAAUCCCCGAGUAAGGAAACCUUCCGUGGGAUCCUUAAUGUCUCAGUCUGAUCCAGGAGCAAGCUCC